GCGAAGGUGGCGGAAUUGGUAGACGCGCUAGCUUCAGGUGUUAGUGUUCUUACGGACGUGGGGGUUCAAGUACCCCCCCCCUCGCACCA
rnacentral:tRNA from 1 species